CCGUCAUCUUCUCCAUAUGGACUCUGAACUGCCUAUCGUGAAGGAACAGUUCAACGACACCUGUGACCCAAGGUAGCAGGACUCGUGAUACCUUCAAGAGCAGGCGAGUGUGCCCUCCCAUAUCAUUAGAUCGAUGAAAACAGCACCUGUUUUCAAUUUUCUCUGGAAGCCAUUUUCAACAAAUGUGGUCAGUGCAUGUACUUGGUUGCAUGUGCUAUGGCCAUGACAUCAAUGAAAACAAAAUACCCAGCCAGGAUGAACACUGACCAUGACAUGCUUGUGUGCUUGUCAAAGACACCCCCAUGCCUGGACAGAAUUGUUGAUCAGCACCAGCAACAAGUUUCACACUAAGGGCACGUCUGCACUACGGGGGAGACAUUCUCCAGUCGACCUCCCUUACUCUUCUGGAAGAGCUGGAGUACUGGGGUUGUCCAUAGAACACUAGACCUGCAAAAUCGAUCCCUGCUGCAUCAAUUGUAGCACCGUCGAUUUCCCUGUAGCGAAGACCAGCCCUGACCCUGGGCAGGAGGCAGCCUGCAAGCAGUCUCUGAGUCUGGGAGAGCCCAAGAUGCUGGGUAAACAGAGGGAGUCUGUGAAUAGCCUGGCCUUCCCUCCCUGUUUGGAGCCCAGCUGUGGAGUGGACAUCUCCCUGCAGCCAGCCAGCAAAGUACUGCCAGGCCCAGCACGUGGCCUCUCUUUAACCCCAGCCUGCAAACAGGCCUCAGAGGGGACAAUCCACUUCUUCUGCCCCUCCUGCCUGCAACAAGAGGAGACCACCCGUCCCUUCUGCCACCACCUGCAGUCAGCCCACACCAGACAUAGGAACAAGGGGAUGUUCAGUGACAUUGAAAGGUGAGCAGUUAAAAACUAACAAGGAAAUGUUUUUUUCCGCACAAAGCACAAUUGGCCUGUGGAACUCACUGCCACUGUAACUCAAUGAGGCCCAGAGUUUAACAAGACUAAAAAAGGGCCUGGAUAUUUCUAACAAGAAUAACCAAAGCUGUCAUAAUUAAUGAUACCAUUUUUGGAAGGUAUAUUAAAGACCUGGCGGAAGCCAAUCUCUGAUAUUAGAAAGCAAGAUGAAAGCUACCUGGGAAGGGGGCAAAUUAUCCCCAUCUGCUACUGCAGAGUUCUUACGCCUUCCUCUGCAGCAUGUGGCGCUGCCACUGUUGGAGACCGGAGAGUGGGUUGAUUGGACCCCAGCUGUGGUCCAGUCUGGCAGUUCCUGUCACUGUUCCCACCUGCGUCCCUGCACCCCCCUGCCACACACACCGUUUCCCUCAUAGAAAAGGACACACAAUGAUGGGGAUUACUUGCUUUUUGGAAUGGCCCCUUUCUAGCACCCUCCUGCAACCCUGCAGCCGAGCUGCUGUCAUGAGGGGCCGGUAGCUGCACUGCCCUGGAGCAGAGUCAAAGCCACUGCUCCCCGUUUUGCUCUGGGGGGCGGUAAGUUACCUCACUUCUCUUUGCGGAGCAGCUUACUCCCUGCUGUGUUCCUGGAGGGGAGGGGUGGACCCAGGGCUACUCCCUCUGCCCUCCCCCACCCACCCACCCACAGCAGGAGGCCUGGCUGAAUAACCCUUGUUCUCCUCAGCUUGGCCAAUCCACCUAUGGGAGAGCAGAGUGUGGCCCAGGAGGUGCUGGAACAACCUAACCCCAUCCCCGGCUGGCUCUAGGGGGUGGAAUGGAGAAGCUUUGCAGUCCCAUUAGCCUUUGGGAAUUGCUUUGCCAUCACACAUAAAGUUCACACCCACAAGGUGCCCACUCCCCCCCAAGCCUGUCUGGCUGUCCCUGGCCGGUUCCUGCAUUGGGCUGUCUGGGACAGGCAGACAUGUGAGCUCACAGGAGCCCGCUCUGCUCCCAGCACCACACAGGCAGUGCCUGGACAUGCCCGGCAUCCUAAUUUAGUCAGCGUGCUGUGCUGUCGGCUGGUGUGUGGUUCAGGGCACCUCCUGUCCCCCUCCUGGCAGCCCCCCCCCAUCCCCUCCCUGUACACUGCCAGUGAUUGACAGGCACUGUCCUGUCUCCCAGAGACAGUUCAACAGCCAGGAAAGGGGGUUUAAUCCUCAUGUCUGGCUGUCUUAUUUUUCUCCCUUCCUAACUGACGUUCAGGGAGCUCUUCCAUCUUCUCAGGCUCCAAGUAUGCUGGGAAACACUCCCUCCAUUCCGCAGCGGGGCCCUGUCAUUUCCCUCGGGCUCAGUUCAUUAUCAGAGCACAGGGAAACCAGGCGGGACAGGACCUUGACGGCAUGUGAACGUCAUGAGGGAUGGACAAACGUUUGGCCCCUAACAAUGCAGACAAAGCCAAGGGCCUUUCCUUUGGUUCUAACAACUUAAACCAGAUCUUCCAUCUUUAUAAUUUAUAUUACCACAGCGCCUAGGACCCUGGUCACACACCAGGACCACGCUGGAUAGUAGAGAGACAAGCUGGGGGCGGGUAAUGUCUUUUACUGGUGAGAGAGCGAAGCCUGCGCAUUCAGACAGAGCUCUCCUUUGGGUCAGCAAGCUCGGAAGCUCGUCUCUCUCACCAACCAGGGUUAGUCCAAUACAAGAUAUUCCCUCCCCUGCCUCGUCUUCUCUGUUUCUAACAGGUGGGUCCUCAGUCCAGAGCUGUGUGCUUCUCCUGAAACAGCCUGAGACCUCACAGCCCCCACCCCAAAUCCAGCUGCUUUGCGGCAACUCCCUAGCUCCCUGCGUGGGGCAGAGAAAGCACAGACGCUGAACCCACAAUGAACAGGGGACAGCUCAGACAGGCCAGCAUGGGCAGUAGGUGUCCUGCACAGAGCUACAGGUGUUGCCGAGACAUGGACAGUGACCUCACCCUUGCCCUACUUGCUGCCAGUACUUGUUUCUGCACCAUGGCCUCACUUUACACCUUUGCACAGUCGCCUCAGCACCUGCCUGUCUGCAGCAAAGUAGCAGGUUGACAGCCACCCCACAGGAAUGGACCUUGCCUCUGGGGCUCUGCUGCAAGCCAGCCAACCCAUCAGAGCACUGGGCUCCAGACCCCGGUUCCUUUUCCAGCUCAUUGUCUGGCCGCACCAGCUUGGGUAGAUUUAAGGGGCUUGAUCCUCAUCUCAAACCAUCCCACGAUAAACAGAUUUUAUUUUAUUCCAGCUUUUCAGCUCAGCUUUAAAGCAGCAGAUAAAACAAAAGAAGAAAAGCAAAGGGCUCUUUUGAUUGCACUGCUCUUCCAUCACAGCAAGGCUCCUUUUUCGCUCAUGCUACCGUCACAGGGGGCCCGCUUCCCUGCCGUCUCUCAGCCCCUGCCCAAUUCUCUGAGCACUGGUCCCAGUUAGUCAUUAACCAGCAGCUACCUUGUGCUAAUUGACUUUAGCCAGUUUUAGCCCACCUUUUCUGUCCUGCUCUGCAGAAAAGGGACGGCAAAGCUGACUGAAACUGACAAGAUUUCUUUUCAUAAAAGAAAAGGGAGUGAGCCUACACUGGCUCCAUCAAAGACUUUUAUUAAAGCCACACGGGGAAAAAGCUGCCCUCUCAGACAGCUCUCGGUAUUGAGAAAACAUGAAAGAAACCAUCAGCUAUAAUCAGCUCAAGAAAUUUAUUGCAUGUUUGACCCUGAUGUGGUUGUGCGCUGCUCAAGGAAGAUUUCUUUGAAGGUGUUGCAGGUUUAUUGAUUGUGAAAAAUGUCAGUGUGUCAUAUGCCCAAUUAACUUGGCACUUCUUGCAAUCAAUACACUAAUUGCCUUCUCUUUAGAGAGGCCUUUAAUGUAAUUAACCCUCCCCCCCACUUGUUUUGCCAACUAUCAUGUUUUAAUAAAUAGUUGAUCUGGGCUCUGUAUUCAGCGUGCCUCGGCAGAGCGGAGGGGAUGGAUUUCGUAGAGGAGACUGGCUUUCUCAUAGAGACCUAGCAUCCAUUUUCAGGAGCCCAUAAAGCUGUAUAUCAGCUUAGCAGCAGUGCCUAUGUAACCCUCACACCUUCUGAGUGUGGUGUUCUGUCCCAUCUAAUGGCACUGAGACUACUUAGAGAGAGAACGAGAUU